AAUUAAAAUUUUCAAAAUAAAGGAGACUAUUUUGGUCAUUUUCCUUAUUUAAUGCUAUUUUGUGACAAAAACUUAAAAGAUCUAUUUGAGAGAAAUGCUCUACAAUAUAAGAAAAAAUAAGUAAUAAGUAAAUAUACAAUACGAGAAAUGAAAAAUUAUAUCAAACAUCUAUCUGAAAAAUGUAUAGUUUUCUAAUUUUUUCAAAGGAAAUAUGUAUUCACACAAACAUACAAUUUAGAAUUUGUUGUUGUUUAGAAUACAACGUUCAAAAAAAUAACUAUAUGGUUAACAUUUGAAAAUAAAAAUAGCUCCGCGCGUAACGCGGAUUAACUCUUAGUCUAAUACUAUAAAUAAGACUUUAUCUCUUCUCUGGUGUUGCCACAUCAGUAAAUAGGUGAUUUUGGGAGUGACACGUGUCCCGCCUAAUAAAAACGCACUGUUUCAUUAAUCAUUUAUUCUAAUUUGAUUUGGGCUUCUGGUGACACUUAAGACGCUUAACUUUUGACGUUUUUAUGGUACAAAGCCCUAUAGCCCAACAAAGUAAAUUCUAAUUGUGUUCGACGCGAAGACAUCAAAGUUCAAUGUUCGUCUUCUCUGUUCAGCGGUGACCUCUGAUCUUCGUCACUGAAUCUGAAACAGUCGGAGUUAUGUGUUCUUCGUGUGGUGUUAAAUCCUUAUUAAUUCAAUCCACCACGAUGAGGCGUUGAAUGCGUGCUAAGCUUUGUUGAGUCGGUAGAUCUGCGAAUAUAAAUAAGUCUGUAUUUCUAAAGUUUCAGAGAUAAGAAUGGCCAACUCCGUUCUUCUCCUCCCUAAUUUGAAGCCGGCCGUUGUCCCAAUCUCCCUCAGAUAUUCUUAUAUCAUCCCUCCGAAACAUUACUGUAGAUAACACGGACGUUGAACACCCCUCUGUAACUUAUGAUGCAAUCAUUCAAUCGGCCUAAUUGUUUCUUUCACACCACUAGAAGAAAGAUUUGGAUCACAGGUUAGUCUAAACUUUCUGAAGAAUAUGAAAAUACGUCUGGGAUCUAAUCUCUUUGUGGGACAGGUUAGUCUGCUUUCUAAGCUUUUAGUAUAAGAACUUUGAAGCAUUGAUUUUAUGGUUAUUGUGAUUUCAGCCAUUGUUCAUUAGGGUGCAACGGUUUAUGUUAGUUGUACUGUGAGCUGCUAAUAGUUUAGCAAUUAGAAUGUUUACUAUGUUCUCUUAUACGAAUGAAAAAUAUUUUUGCUUUGAAACAGUAAGCUAAUGCCAUUUUAGUGAUAAGGUUUGCUCAUUUCAAAACAAGAGCUUUACUUCAUCAUCACUUAUGAAUUUACAUACGUGAAACGUGUUUAAAUUGUGGCUUUGAUUGAGCUUCUUUUGCUUCUAUUCCCCACCUCUAUUUUUUAUCACCGUCAGUGAAACAUACUAAACGGCGCAGUCGGCAAUUUCCUCCUCCUCCUGGCUUACCCAGCAUCUGGAACUUGCACCAGCUAGGCAAGUAACCACAUCAGUCUUUAUGGAAACUCACGAAGAAGUAUGAUCCUGUAAUGUUCCUGACACUUGAAAGAGUCAGUUAUAGUUUCCUCCCCUGAAACAGCGUGGAAGGUAUGUAUAUAUUUUCAUAACUUCAGUUUUUUUCCUACCACUCCCGGCAAUGAUUAAAUAUUGUGCCAGACGAAAUAGAACAACUAUAAUGAAGUCACUCACAGAUACAUUGAAGUCAUGUUGACCACGGUCUACCUAAGCAACUUAAAUUUGGUAAAAAAUGCAGUUCGUACAUAUCUCCCAUGAAUGAUGUGGUCUUAGAAAUGGAAAGAACCUAGUGGAAUGUAAUAUAUUACACAUAGAAUUGUUACACUUCAGUUGGUGCGUACGCAGGACUUGGAGCAUCCAUGGCUGAGUAGAAUGUGGGACAUCAGCCACCAUGGCUUUCGGUCAACUACAUAAUCACAAAAAGGCCACCAGAAAGUUAAGCAAACCAAACAAAAAGAUAUUGCAAAAGCAAUGUUUAACUUUUUGCUACUAACCAAAUAAAACAAAUAACUUACGUAUAUAGAUUACUUAAACUUGCGUGUGUGACCAUACGUCCGAAACAAAAUUUAAGAUAUAAGAACUUAUAUCGUAUAACAAAGUGAAAAUUUUACGGUUAACAAAUAACAAAUAUCCCACAAGCUUAAAGGGUUUUGCAGAUUGUUCAAGGAUUUUCAGAUGAACCAAAAUUUACUAGCUUAAAACUUUCCGUUGUUACCAUGAAGCAUGUGUUGUAAUGAUUUAAAACAGUCUGGACUUACAUAUUGUAUAUUGCUAUUUGUAACUGAAGUUUGUUAGUACGGGUGGGAAAACUGCAGUGCCACUAUGCAAAACGUUGUAAAUAGUGAAUCUAUUAGUAAAAAAGGUGAAAGUUCAUACCCAUAUACUAGAUAUUGGUUUUUUUUUGUCAACAGAUACUGGUUAAAAUGCUGAGAAUAAAAAAUUAAAAAAAAAACUUAUUAAAACUCAAGAUUAAUCAAAUUAAAAGUAUAUAACUAAAACAUUAAACGUUUCAGGCUUUGGUUGACCUAAAAGAGCAGUUUCGCUAGAUAUUCUAAUCUCAUCUUGCCGGCUAAUUGAUCAUAGUAGGAUUGGUGUCAUAAUAUACCCGCUCUUUUCUUCUUGCAAGCAUCAUCAUGUUGAUAUUCUUAUUAUUUCCUGCUUGCGAACAGAUGACGAUACCAACCCUUACAGCAUAUAAGAUAAUAUUUCAAGAAUCCUAUUAAUGCAAGUAUUACUCUUAUGUUAGGAACAUAUUUUCUAGAAGAACAGGUACACACAAUGUUGAUUUGGUUAAUGUUAUUAUCCCAAUGUUAGCAUACUGGAAAUAGCAAAUGUCAUGUAAAGCUCAAAAAUCAAAAUAGACCAUAUCAUGUGAAAGAGUUUUUUAGUAGAGCUCAAACAUGUUUUUUUUUUCUAAAUACCAAUGAAUUUAAAAAAUAAACAUACAAAAAUAAGAAAUACUCCAUAGCUAAGUGUAUAUAAUUCAAUCAGUUGUCUUUCUAAAAGAAAAUCCUGAAUACUAUCAGUAGACAAAUUUGUGAUUUCUAACAAAAAUAACAAAAUAAAAUACACUUACAUCUAUAAAUGCAUAUUAUGAAUUGUUUUAAUGUAGUAACAUAUAUAUAAUUUCUAAAAAAGAAAAAAUAGUAAAAUUUGUAGUAAAAUAGUGAAAAUUAAAAUUUAUUAAAAUUUAAAAUAUAUUGUAUUUUUUGUUCAUUUGUUUACCCGUCCGUAGGGCGGGUCCGACCCUAGUCUAUAAUAUAAUAGUUCAGUUUAUCUCCUCCUAAGCUGUCCACGUGUCAUUUUUGUGGGCCUCACUUUUAAUUUUUUGUUUCAAACGUGUGGGCUUUAGUUUGUAAUCUCUCUUCAGUUUUUUUGUGGGCUUUCCCACAAAUCGGCCCGGAAAGCAUCAUUUAGGGUUACGCACUUCACAUUUGAGAUUCUUCGUCGGCUGAGCCGUUUCCUAUUCGGAAGUUUUGUUUUUGUAGCUCGAUCUCUUCGACUCCUCCACGUUCUCUACCGACUUAGGGAUUUCUCUUCCUGUAACGGAUUCUCCAGCCUCCUUUAUAUAGAUUCGUCGAAGGUAAGCUCUCAGCUGCCUCUAAGAUCUAAUGAGAAGUCCUAAAAAAAAACCAAAAAAAUUAAAUGCAAAAUGAGUUAAAAGGAGACGUGUCUAAUAUGACACUUUUAGAACUGGUAAGCACCCUAUACGUGUUUCUUUGUUAUUGGCUAAUGCUUUCUCUCUCUUCCUCUUCCUCUUCCUCUUCGUCGAUGUUGGAGAAACAAGAGCCUGAAUCGUCGUCAUCAUCGGAGGAGGCGCAAGCUGUGACUCCGUGGGUCGUCUCCGGUAAUGUCGAUCACGAGAAGGUGAUCGAAAAGUUCGGCUGCGAUAGGAUAGACGAGUCGCUGAUUUGCGUGUUUGAUGAUUCGGUUUUUUUUUGUGUGUUUGAUGAUUCGGUUUUUGAUUUGCAUUGAUGGGGAUGUUAAAAGUUAUGUUCUUUUGGCUGAGUGAGGAUGAAUGGCAAAGUAACCAGGAGAGGGGAGAACAAAGUAACCAGGACUCUUGGGUCUCGGGAAUUCAUGCGAUACUACAAACAGAAGCCACCACCAUCUUCUCAGAAACACAUUGUCAACUCUCUAGCCACGAGGUUUGUUUCCUGUGAUAAGGGUUCGUCAGUUUCGUUAAAGCUCCAGACUUUAUGUUUUCAAUUGCCUCUGACGACACAGAACGCUUAAGGUUCUCCUCCUCUCUUUUCUCAAAUCUGGAUUGUAUUUGCUACAAGUAUUGGUAUUUGCUACAAGUAUUGGUUUUUGGUGAUAAGGGUUCGUCAGUUUCGUUAAAGUUUCAGACUUUUUAUUUGCAUUUUCCCUUGAUUUGAUCUUUUGGAGCUCAGCUGCGUUUAUAUGGUUGGUGAUGUAUAGUGGUGGUUAAUCAAGUAAGUGUUCACGCUGGUGUGUUGGAGACAGUUUGAUUUGGCGAAUAGGGAAGCAAUGGAUGAAUCUGCAGAAUGGCGGAGAAUGUUUGACUGUGAAGCUGAGAAAGCUUCUAAGUGUAACUCAGAGCUGGCACUGGAAAAUGCAGCAUUGCUCAGUAAGAUAGAGACAUUAAAACAAGAGCUGGAAGCUUCAAGGUUAAAGUGCCGUUCAAGAGAGGCACCCCAUUAGAUUGGUUUUCUGUAGUAGACAUCCAGCGUUUGAUAUUAGCUCUCGCUCAUUCAGCUGCUGGUAAGAAAAUCUUAAACAUUUCAUUCUCAUGUAUAACAGUUGUUGUAGUAGACGAUUUGUAGGCUCUUUUUGGAACAAUCAUACUAGCAAUACCUGUAAUAUACAUCAUCAUUUUCAUCACCUUGUAUCGAGAUAAUCCAUCUUAAAAUUCAAUUCACUGGAUUCAUGUGUUGUUUUCAGAGUA